UACGUAGGGUGCGAGCGUUGUCCGGAAUUAUUGGGCGUAAAGGGCGCGUAGGCGGCUGAACAAGUCAAAGGUGAAAUCCCUCGGCUCAACUGAGGAACUGCCUUUGAAACUGUUCGGCUUGAGGCCGGGAGGGGGUAGCGGAAUUCCCAGUGUAGCGGUGAAAUACGUAGAGAUUUGGUGGAACACCGGUGGCGAAGGCGGCUAUCUGGCUCACAACUGACGAU
rnacentral:rRNA from 1 species